rnacentral:snRNA from 1 species
AUACUUACUUGGCAGGGGAAACACCAUGAUCAAGAAGGUGGUUUUCCCAGGGCUAGGCUUACCCAUUGCACUGCGGGUGUGCUGACCCCUGUGAUUUCCCCAAAUGCGGGAAACUCGUCUGCAUACUUUGGUAGUGGGGGACUGAAAAAAAGUUACAAUCUUAGAAUCCUCA